GAGAGAGAGAGAGAGAGAGAGCAUUCACAUGAUGAUACAUUAAGUGAUGGUCAGUUGUCGGUACCACUACAAUUAAUGGGUUUCUUUUGUGGUCUUGAAAACCAGCAAAGCAUCUCGACACAAGGGAAGAGAUAAAGUUGAAGCGCGGAGGGCAAGCGACAGUGUUCCGUUUCCGGGGAUUGGUGGGUGACCCUAAUCUGCCUGCUCCACCUCCUUCCACGGCACGGCGAUAAAGUGAUUGGUGGGAACAUGCUCCUCGAGAAGUAAGACCAUGCCGACUUAGGUUUUCCAUUAUCCAACUGUUUCACUGUAGGACCGCUAAUCUCCAUUUGAUCUUUUUCAUCGGUUGAGUUGUCAUCAUCUCAGUUGCUGUUCUUUGAAAUGCAGCAAGAUGCUUUAAGAUCUUUCAGGUGUCCACCAUGUUCUAUUGUAGCCAAAGCAUAAUAGCCACAGCAUCGCAAGCUUUAGAUCUCAAAAAUUUUGAUGACCUAACAGUACGGUUGAAACGGUGGUGAGAUAUACAAUCAUUGUAUAAACAGAUGGCAGGAGAAAUGCAUGUAUAUCUUCUAGUGCCAGACAGGUAUAUAUGCUUCAUUCACCAUGGUGGCUGCUGCUGCAAGAUUGAUGCCCAGGUGUUAUAUGCUUCACCAUGGUGCCUACAGCUAUAAAGACUAAUGUCCAGGGUUUUGGAUUCUCCAAUUUUCCAUCAUGCUCGGGUGGUUGACUCAGAUAACCAGAUGUUGACGGAUUUGCCUGCCCUCCAUUGUGGUACAGAAGGAUUGGAAAUCCUGCCUUCCACUAAGUCUUGUCACAAUCUCAAAGUCACCAAAUCCUGCACGAACCUCGAAGCAUGAUGGAUGUUGAUCAUGUAUCAGUAUCAGGAUGGACAUGCUGGAGGACCCUAACUCAGUGACAAAAGCCAUCUUCAAGCUGCUUGGUUUAGGACCUGGCGGUCUUGCUAUUAGUCUGCUGCACUCAUUGGCUGAAACCCCCCAACUGUUGAUGGAUUGUUGCAGACUGAUAUAUAAUAGCUUGGAAGAUUGGCUUCUUCUCUGUGAUGUACCUCCUUCAAAACAAGAAGUUUCAGGUUUGUCUCCUCUUUUGGUUCCUGUCUUAGCGGCGAUGCAAAACGAACGAUCUUGAUGAACAUGCAUCACGUAGUGAACUGUGUGGUUUGUAAUGAUGUGGUCUCUCGUAGGUUUGAUGUGAUGAGAUUGAGAUUUAUGGGACUUUUGAGUGACCAUAUAUCAUAUCUAUUAUAAAAGUAAAAUAUAUUACGUA